ACAGAGAGAGGUAGUGGUUAGAAGGUAUCCAGACAGAGAGAGAGAGAGAGGUAAUGGUUAGAAGGUAUCCAGACAGAGAGAGAGAGAGGUAGUGGUUAGAAGGUAUCCAGACAGAGAGAGGUAGUGGUUAGAAGGUAUCCAGACAGAGAGAGGUAGUGGUUAGAAGGUAUCCAGACAGAGAGAGGUAGUGGUUAGAAGGUAUCCAGACAGAGAGAGGUAGUGGUUAGAAGGUAUCCAGACAGAGAGAGGUAGUGGUUAGAAGG